CUACUUGCUAAUAGCCUAGCCUAUACUAGUUGCUUAAGCUUACAGUUACAGCUUAGUGAUUGAACUGAACAAAUAAAAACAUAAAUUUGAAAUCUGAAACUGAAAGUCUUAAACUCUUUAGAGAGUAGAGACCAAGGAGAAAUGGCGUCAAAAAAGCGAACAGCUUCUACAAGUUUACAAAGUCAAAGUCAUGUGGGUGCUGUAGGUGGUGAUGAUCAAGUUGAUUGUGAAACUGUAAAUGUAGAGAAUAAUGAUUCUGGCAGCGAUGGGCAUGAUUCUGGCAGAUUUCUCAUUCUCAUUCAAUGUUAGACCAUUGAGCAUUGACCGCUUUCUCAUGAAAGCAAAUCUGAAAAAAAUACACUGUUUUGAUUGUCA